rnacentral:rRNA from 1 species
AACGAACGCUGGCGGCAUGCCUAACACAUGCAAGUCGAACGGGAUCCAGGCUUCGGCCUGGUGAGAGUGGCGGACGGGUGAGUAACGCGUGGGAACCUGCCCAAUGGUCUGGGAUAACCGCGGGAAACUGCGGCUAAUACCGGAUAAGCCCGAGAGGGGAAAGAUUUAUCGCCGAUGGAGGGGCCCGCGUCAGAUUAGGUAGUUGGUGGGGUAAUGGCCUACCAAGCCUACGAUCUGUAGCUGGUCUGAGAGGAUGAUCAGCCACACUGGGACUGAGAUACGGCCCAGACUCCUACGGGAGGCAGCAGUGGGGAAUAUUGGACAAUGGGGCAACCCUGAUCCAGCAAUGCCGCGUGAGUGAUGAAGGCC